CAGGUUAAGAAGCAUCAAUAUUAUCAGUGGCCACAUAAGAGGUUCAUCUCCCCCCAACCACAGAAAUCUGCCGAGACAGCAGUACUAGACAGUGAGGGGAUUUUCGAUGAGCUGCUGCGCACCUUGGAGGAAAAGAGAAGGGAGCAUCGAGAGCACAUUAGAGAGAGGAAGAGAGCCAUUCUGAAACGGGCAGAGAGGGAGGAAAAGCAGAUCAUCGGACAGAUCUCCAUUCUGAGGAGGAAAGACACUGAGCUGGAGAGUCCUGGUCCCCCUGUGCAGGACAAUCCACAGUUCCUUCAGAAAUUGCAAGACAUCAAGAGCCUGCUGCAACAAGGAAAACAACCCCCAGUCAUCACAAAUAACAACCAUUUGUUUUCGUUUGUUAAAACCGACAUGAACGAUUUGAGAGUUAGUGUAGUGGAAAUAUGUGAUAAAGCCAUCGAGAACAUUAAACAGCAAGUUAAUGAUGUACAUAUUCUACCCCCACCAAUGGUCAAACCACGCACUAAACCAGCACUAGAUGUCAAUAAGAAGAAGGUCACUGUAGUCAGACACGUAGAUCUCAAAGUCCCAGAUGAGGAUCACAUGAGAUAUCAGGUGAGGUGAAGUCUUAAAGUCUAAUGUUACUCAGCAAGUUGCUCUGAUCAUUUAGAAUAAGAAUUAAGAUUGAAUUAAGAUUGCUUGACCGGAUUUAGAAAAUUGAGAUUAUAUGUGCCCAUGUAUUGAAUAUGUGUCAGUUCUUUUAAAUAAAAGCUCUGACUGAAAGAGGAACA
ensembl:lncRNA